AGCAUGGUAUGAAUGCCUUAGAGACUUUUUAAUUGCUAAUGCUUUCAAGGUUGGGAAAGCCGAUCCAACUCUUUUCACUAAGACAUGUGAUGGUGACUUAUUUGUGUGCCAAAUUUAUGUCGAUGACAUAAUAUUUGGUUCUACUAACCAACAGUCUUGUGAAGAGUUUAGCAGGGUGAUGACUCAAAAGUUUGAGAUGUCGAUGAUGGGAGAGUUGAACUACUUCCUUGGGUUCCAAGUGAAGCAACUCAAGGACGACACUUUCAUCUCCCAAACAAAGUAUACGCAAGACUUGCUCAAGCGGUUUGGGAUGAAGGACGCCAAGCCCGCAAAGACUCCAAUGGGAACAGACGGACACGUCGACCUCAACAAAGGAGGUAAGUACGUUGAUCAAAAAGCAUACCGGUCCAUGAUAGGUUCCUUGCUUUAUUUAUGUGCUAGUAGACUGGAUAUUAUGCUAAGCGUAUGUAAUACCCAAAGUUGUAGACCAUCAUAUGAGAACAAUCUUGUGUAUUUCGCUUCUACAUACCAUCAUAUGAGAACACUCGCUUUUAAAAGAAAAUAAUCAACAAAAGACACAUGAACAACAUAUGCAUCAUAUUGGAGUUUUGUUUGUGCAUUGAAUAAUAAUAACACUACAAAAAUAUAAUAAUGAGUUGAAGACUAGGAUCAAAACCUAAAUUUGAAAUUGGGAUUUGAAAAAUGGAAAAGAAGAGAGAAAUACUAUAAAAUACAAAAUGAUUUUAUAAAUAAAUAGAAUCAACCCAUAAUGGAAUGUCCAAGUCAUACAUUCAAAUCUAAGUACAAAUUUACUACAAAAAAUUUGAAUUCAAAACUGGGACUCAAAAAUAAAAAGGAAAACAAAAUAAAGAAAAAGAAAAAAAGGUGGUCGCUACUUGGGCCGUGGAUGCCAUUUAGGCCCAUCUCGCUCACGCUCCGCACAGCCCGGUCACCCACUCCACACGCGCUUGGUGCCCUGACACUGCGAUGCGGGCCCACGCGCCAGUCCCUUUGCGCACGGACGCCCCUUUCUCCAUCGCUGCUGGUGGGUCCUCCCUUGCUCACGGUCGUCUUCGUCGCGCGUCCAUCGCCGUGGAAUCCGGAUCUCGCCAGGGAAUGCGGCAUGGUCGUUGUCCACCUCGACCCUGGGAUAAGACCCGCAUGGCAUCUGCACCUCCUCCUGCCUUCUUCCCCUGCGCAUAGAAGCGAGCACCAGGCCGUGUAGCGUCGCCAUGUGCAUCUACGCCGCGAGAAGAGAGAGAGAGUAAGAGCGCCACCGCGGUGGUCACGUGCGUACACCAUCGGCGGGGUUCCGGAGUCGGGUCUGGGAGCUCCAGCUCGUCCCCGGGACGAUACUCGUGGUCUCGCUGUGCUCGAUUGGCAAACGUCGCGCCGAGAAUUCCUCACCAAAGAAGCUGCGGCCGCCAGGGAAGCGACUCACCGUGGACGACUGUCUUGGGGGCCACCAUCGCUUCGGGUAAGUGGCCUAAAUCCUCUAGUACAUCUACGGAUUGAGAUGCAUUCAACGAAAUUAGAAAUUGGGGGCGGGGGUCGAACCAAUUUCUCAUCUGAACUCCAUUCCCACCGCCGAAUCCGCCUCGACGUGGUUGAUGCUAAACUCGUCCCUCUCGGCGGGAUUGAACCCCCCUUUAGGGCUCGCCAUCGUUCACUGUCACGAAUCGACUAGUUGAAGGGGGGGAGCCAGGGGGACUGCACGCCGGUGAUAGUACCGCCACCGUAGGGAGGGUGGCGCCGCCGUCGGGUGUGAUAGUGAGAGGUUUAGUUGUGUGAGUCCUCGGAUCCGUAAUGGAGGGCUGGGAUUUGAUCGGAUGCAAACGAGUUUGGGGCCAUCGAUCCAUGAUCCGAUGGCUAGCUUUGCAUAACGGUUUGGGGAACUAGGGUUUAAUCCGAGCCAUUCACUGUCGAUCGACCGACUGUAAAUACAUACCGGUUCGGAAUGAAGUUAGUCCAAUCUGUGCCGUCCGUUUCUAAUCCGGCGGCGCUGGAUCCCCGAUACCCCUUCGCGGAUACAUUUUGUUAAAGAGCCCCUGUCCUUUACCUAUAUCAACCCGUCGUCCAGCGCACGAUAGAUCUGAGUCUGUGGAGUUUUUGCAGGUUUAACCCCUGGACUUUCUGAAAAAUGAGGCCCAGUCCUGAGAUGAUUAAAAACAGAGAAUUAAUUAUAGAAAUUCGUUUUUAAAACAAAAACAAAUAUAGAAACUUGUAAAAUGCCUAGAAAAUCCAUUUUUAGUCCAAAUCACUCCAUUCCAGUUCUUAAAAUUUUGUAAUUUUAUUCUCCAUCGUCUAGAGUCUCUUUUUCUACAUGAAAACAGUAGGAAAAUUAAUUUGUCACUUAACUCUAUUUUAAUCACAUUAAACCUUAGGAAAUUCAUAACUUAAAUUCUAUAACUCCAAAUUUAGUGAUUCCAGUUCCUAUGGUUUCAUUUUGAUAUGUAGAUUUUUACUGCAUAUUUUAUUUACAUGCUUGGUGUGAUGUUGAUUUUGGCUAUACUAUGUAUGUAUUGUGUUGAUGCGAGUAGACGAGCAAGCCACUGUGGAAACUGAGGUUCAACAAGUAGAAGUAGCUGAGCAGGAGCUCAUUGAAGGCAAGUUGUGCCCUUGAUCACUUACUUUCCCAGCCAUGUUCUUAUUAAUUUUAAUGAUCUGCAUAGGAUAAUUUUGAUGGGAGCCUUUAUGUUACCCCAGUUUUGAUUACCUCUAUACCUUGUUCACCCCUGAAAUAUUUUUGGGUAGUACUUGCUAUUGCUUUAUGUGGAUUGGGUAUGGAGAUACACUAUUCAUGAUUAUUCUGUUAUUAACUUGUUAUUAUUAUUGUUCAUGUUAAGAUCAUUAAAUUAAUGGGAACAUGGAGCGACCACCCGGGAAAACAGUGCUACCACAAGGGUAUAAUGGGACGCCCUUGGCUGACUAAUUAGGAAAGCUAGUGGAAGACUACCUUACCUGAAAGGGGCAAGGGCAGUAGGGGAGAGGUCAGUGCGGGGAGGUCCCUGGUUGAUUUUGCUGCGAUGGCUGUCAGCCAGGAACCCUGUACUGGAUCUUCCUAUAAACUGUAGCGGGUUUUCGGAAGCUAGUGGAACUUUGUAAAGGCCUCGUAGUGGAUCCCUAGCCAUUCACCUCGGUAGUGUCUAAGGGCCUUGCAAACCCAGGCGACAUGGGAUACACGACUUGUGGGUAAAGAUGCGCAACCUCUGCAGAGUGUAAAACUAGUAUACUAGCCGUGCUCACGGUCAAGAGCGGCUCGGACCCUCACAUGAUUAAUUAUGGAACUUAAAUUCAAUUUGACAUUUGCAUCGCAUUUGGGAUCAUUUUACUAUUACUGUUCUUUAUUAUUAUUAAGGUUUGGUAUUUACUUACACUUAGUAAUUGCUAAUAAAAUUUUGACCAACUUAUAAAAGCAAUGCUCAGCCUCAGCCUUUAUUCCAUUGAUUAGCCUUACACUACAUGAACUCCCACCUUUGGUGAGUUCAUGCCACAUUAUUCCCCACGACUUGUUGAGCUAUGAACGUAUGUGAGCUCACUCUUGCUGUCUCACACCCCCCCACAGGAGAAGAACAGGUGGUCGAAGAGGAGCCGCCUAACACUGAGGAGUUCGAUCUGAUCUAGGUGGCGUGUCUCGGUCGACAUUGGCGCCGACGAUCCUUAGUUCGCUUUAUCUUUAUUAUUUUAUUUUGUAACAAGACUUCCGCUAUGUAAUAAGUACUCUGAUGUUUUAUGACAUUUAUCUCUAUACACUCUGUUAUUAUAUAUGUUGUCUUCUUGGCGCAUGUAUGAGAUGCACCCGGUUUUGUCCCUUUAAAACCGGGUGUUACAGAAGUGGUAUCAGAGGAAAUGUUGACUGUAGGACGAAACCUAGAUAGAAAUGGACAAAACCCUUAUCUACUUAUCUUACUCUGAUUCAUUCCAUACUUACCUUAUCUUGAUCCUAUCUCACCUUCUACUGUUCUACUCUGAUCAUUCUUACCUUUUCUACUCUGAGACAAGACGGAUUUCACACUUUGGAAUCCUACAUUUAUGACCUUUUUAAGAGAUAGGAGACCUAAGACAAAAAUUGAAACUAUUUUCCCUAUUAAAAAAAUGUUGGUUGAUUGUUCUGAUGAUAACUGCUUGAUUUGCUUCUUUGAUUGAUUGAAACAUUAUAGUUGGGCAUCUUAGCAUGUACCACUAUAAGGUAAUGUAUUAUCUUAGGUGGAUAACACACUAAUCUACUUAGCUAAUAAAUCCCCCGCAGUAACAUUUCUCAUAAUUACUCGCCUUGUCUACAAUUCUUCCUUUCUUACCCUAUAUUUCUAACUCAGAUGAACUACCCCUAUAGUGUUAGAAGAGAGCACUAUAGACGUGAUCCUUGGUAUGUCAUGGUUAAGAAAGACAAAGGCAGUAUAUACACUGUGCUAAAGGAACCAUAGAACUCACCAGUUCCAAAGGAGAAAGAUUUGAAGUUGGAAUUGCAGUAACUAUCGCCACCAAACUAGCGGCAUUCUUGGUCGAUGGGAAGUUUGUUGGUGACAACAUCCGUGUGGUUAGAGAUUUUCCGGAUGUCUUCCCAGAAGAGUUACCAGGGAUGCCACCAUAUAGGGAAGUUGAGUUUGUCAUUGAUCCCUUACCUAGGACUACCCCUAUUUCUAAACGACCAUACAUGAUGUCCAUAGAAGAGCUAAAGGAACUUAAGAAGCAAUUAAUGGAAUUACAAGAGGCUGGGUACAUUCGUCCGAGUUCCUCAUCUUGGGGAGCAUCAGUACUGUUUGUACAGAAGAAAGAUGGAUCGCAAAGGAUGUGUGUGGAUUAAAGGUCCCUUAAUGAUGUCACUAUGAAGAAUAAGUAUUCAUUACCCCGCAUUGAGGAUUUAUUUAAUCAGAUGAGAGGUGCAAGGAUAGUCUCGAAGAUUGAUCUCCGAUCGGGAUAUCAUCAGAUGAAGAUUAGACCCUCGGAUAUUCCUAAGACGGAUUCCUCGACCCGAUAUGGUUUAUAUGAGUUCACCGUUAUGUCAUUUAGACUAACUAAUGCACCAGCCUAUUUUAUGGAUCUGAAGAAUAAGGUGUUCAUGAUCUGGACAGGUUCGUCGUGGUUUUCAUCGACGAUAUUUUUAUUCCAAGAGUGAUAGAGAUCAUGAGGAACAUCUGAGAUUGGUGCUACAGAAGCUACGAGAUAAUCAACUCUACGCCAAGUUUAGCAAAUGCGAGUUUUGGAUUGGCAAGGUGCCAUUUCUUGGUCAUAUUAUUUCUAAUGGAGGAAUUUCAGUGGAUCCUGCUAAGGUUAAGGAGAUAAUAAAGUGGAGAGCACCCACUACAGUUACUGAGAUUCGGAGUUUCUUGGGACUAGCAGGCUACUAUCGGAGAUUUAUUGAAGGAUUUUCUAAGAUUGCCAAACCUAUGACUUCGCUUUUGGGAGAAAGGAAAAGAAUUUAAGUGGGACGAGAAAUGCCAAGAGAGUUUUGAUCAAUUGAAGGAGAGAUUGAUGUCACCUCCAGUAUUGAUUAUGCCAGAUCUGCAGAAGGGAUUUGACAUUUACUGUGAUGCAUGUGGCCAAGGACUUGGAUGUGUGCUCAUGCAAGAAGGACAUGUGAUUGCCUAUGCAUCUCGUCAGUUGCGGAAGCAUGAACUGAACUACCCCACCCAUGACUUGGAAUUAGCAGCGGUUGUGCAUGCACUUAAAAUUUGGAGACACUACGUUAUGGGAACUAAGUGCCAAGUAUACACGGAUCAUAAGAGUUUGAAGUACAUAUUCACUCAGAAGGAUCUCAACCUUAGGCAACGCCGUUGGUUGGAGCUCAUUAAGGAUUAUGAUUUGGAGAUUCACUAUCACCCAGGCAAGGCAAAUUUGGUUGCAGAUGCCUUGAGUCGUAAGGAACAUGUUCACUCCGCUUUCGUUGUCCAGCUACCUGAUGAAUUAGCAAAAGAUUUUGAGAGGCUCAACCUGGGGAUUGUUACACAUACGGAAGGAGUGACUAUUGAAUUGGAACCUACCUUGGAGCAAGAGAUUCGUAAAGGUCAGAUUGGUGAUGCUAAAAUCCAGGAGAUCAAGGAUUUGAUAACAGAGGGUAGAUGCCCAGAGUUCACGGAGGAUGAACAAGGCACGAUUUGGUUCAAGAAUCGGAUCUGUGUUCCCGACAUUGAAAGUCUUCGGGAAACUAUAUUGAAGGAGGCACAUGAUUCAGUUUAUUCUAUCCAUCCUGGGAGUACUAAGAUGUAUCAGGAUUUGAAGCAAAAGUAUUGGUGGUAUGGACUAAACAGAGAUGUGGCUGCACAUGUGGCUAUGUGCGAUGUAUGCCAAAGAGUUAAAGCUGAACACCAGAGGCCAGCUGGAUUAUUGCAUCCACUGAAGAUACCUGAGUGGAAGUGGGAAGAGAUUGGUAUGGAUUUUAUUACUGGAUUGCCUCGCACCUAGAAAGGAUAUGAUGCUAUAUGGGUGAUUGUGGAUAGAUUGACUAAAGUGGCUCACUUUAUUCCUGUGAAGACUACUUAUAAAGGUUCUCAGCUAGCAGAGUUAUAUAUGGCUCGGAUUGUGUGUUUACAUGGAGUACCAAAGAAGAUCGUGUCUGAUCGAGGUUCACAGUUUACCUCAAGAUUUUGGAGAAGCUUUCAUGAGAAUAUGAGUACAAAGUUGAAUUUCAGUACGGCUUAUCACCCUCAGACUGAUGGACAGACUGAAAGGACUAAUCAAGUAUUGGAGGAUAUGUUGAGAGCAUGUGCCCUUCAGCAUGGGGGAAGUUGGGAUAAAAGUCUACCUUAUGCUGAAUUCUCAUAUAACAAUAGCUAUCAAGCCAGUCUGAAGAUGUCACCUUUUGAAGCUUUAUAUGGGAGAAAGUGCAGGACUCCUUUAUAUUGGGAUCAGACUGGAGAGAGACAGUUCUUUGGGCCUGAAUUGAUUCAAGAAGCAGAAGAACAAGUCCGUAUAAUUCGAGAGAAUUUGAGGGUGGCUCAAACCAGGCAAAAGAGUUAUGCUGAUAAUAGAAGGAGGCCACUGGAAUUUGAAGAAGGUGAUCAUGUGUACCUCAAGAUAUCACCACUUCGUGGAAUGAGGAGAUUUAAAGUUAAGGGCAAAUUGUCCCCUCGCUAUAUUGGACCAUUCUGAGUUUUUAGGCAAGUUGGAGAGAUGGCCUAUCAGCUCGAGCUACCUGAUAAUCUAUCUGAUAUGCAUAAUGUAUUUCAUGUGUCUCAACUUAGUAAGUGUCUCCGUAUCCCCGAGGAACAGUUACCAAUGGAAGAGCUCAGUGUUCAGAGUGAUUUGACUUACACGGAGUAUCCCGUCAAGAUUCUUGAUGCUUUGACUCGAGUUACAAGAAAUAAGGUGAUAAAAAUGUGUAAAGUUCAAUGGAGUCACCUCGGAGAAGACGAAGCUACAUGGGAAAGAGAAGAAGAGCUUCGCAUAGAUUUUCCCUAUCUAUUUUCUCGUUCCUCCUAAAUCUCGAGGACGAGAUUAUUUUUAAGGGGGGUAGGAUUUGUAAUACCCAAAGUUGUAGACCAUCAUAUGAGAACAAUCUUGUGUAUUUCGCUUCUACAUACCAUCAUAUGAGAACACUCGCUUUUAAAAGAAAAUAAUCAACAAAAGACACAUGAACAACAUAUGCAUCAUAUUGGAGUUUUGUUUGUGCAUUGAAUAAUAAUAACACUACAAAAAUAUAAUAAUGAGUUGAAGACUAGGAUCAAAACCUAAAUUUGAAAUUGGGAUUUGAAAAAUGGAAAAGAAGAGAGAAAUACUAUAAAAUACAAAAUGAUUUUAUAAAUAAAUAGAAUCAACCCAUAAUGGAAUGUCCAAGUCAUACAUUCAAAUCUAAGUACAAAUUUACUACAAAAAAUUUGAAUUCAAAACUGGGACUCAAAAAUAAAAAGGAA
rnacentral:lncRNA from 1 species